AUAAAAUCCUCGUCCAGGAAUCAGCCGAGGUACACAAACUGACAAUUUUAAUAUACAAACCCAUCAUAAUAAUAACGUUACAUACUUACAAAAGAAAAGAAAACAGCAGCAGAAUUAACGGUCUAGCGAUGGCUUCAGCUCCACUCCCACAGGCAGCUCAACUGGGGUAUAAGCCAAACGUCUUCUCCUUCUGGAUCCUUUAUCUUCAACUGAGGUUGAUUGAUUAUUGCAAGAAUGAGCAUAUGACAUACUCAACAAGCCACACAGCAAAUAUGCAAGUGCACAAGGAUUCCAAAGGAUGGCAUAAUAUAGGCUCAUUUGCAAAAGCAGCAUUUAGCAAAGAUUUAAGAUAAGUAAAACAGUAGAGUAAUUAAUCAUCAAUUUUAAUCAACACUGAACAGCACACCCAUGCUGCUCAGGCCCAACCAUCCUGAACAACCAUACCCGGCUGUACAGAUCUAACUCCAAACCAGGAGCUAAGCAAAUUAUUACCAGUUAUAGCAUCCAUAAUUAUUGUGAGAGGCGUGAGACUAAUCACGAAAAACAUUGCUCAACUCGCCCAUAACCGCGGGCACGGCUAUUCGAAUAGUUUUACUCUGGCCAGAGGUGUACCACUGUACCCACAAGACACGAUUCCACACAUGUUGCCAUGCCCCGAAAUACCACCACGGCAUUGCAAAGGGGGAAAUCGUGACAAUACCCUUCGCACAACACAACUCACCACAGUGCACCAUUCCUGGAUCAUAAUCACCCCCUCUAUAAAUAUAACCAGAGGCAUGGACUCCCCAGCGACCCCCACGGACUUCUCGCCGCUUCUCAGUCUAGUGCCCCGUAAUGAAUCAUGCUAUACAAAAGGUAAAGCCGUUGCCCAUGCUGGCUUGUGGUUGGCACGGUAAAUGUUUCACAACAGUAGCUCGCGAACCGGUCCUUAAUUGCCAUGAGCACGACCUUCAAAACCAUGUGCUCACAACCCACCAUUGACAAGUUUUAAUUAUCAAUUAAUUAUAAUAACACGAUUAACCAUCGUGAGCUACCAUUAAAUAUAACCAUAAUAAUAAUAUAAUAUAAUAUAGUUUAUAAUUAACCCCUUUAGUUAGCUAAUGUUUCUAAGCAUAGCUAAGCAAACUUACAUAUAGCAUUUAGCUGAACCAAUCCUACAUAUAAGGUUCAUGCUAAUCAAAUUAUAACCCAUAGGAAAAUAAGAUCAUCUUCGGCCAUUAAUUAACGGGGAAAGGUUCACCACCCGAUGACAUUCAAAAAUGAUGCAUAGUUGAAAUAAAAUAAUAGCUUUAAAUGGGUUCAACAUGCUCAAAGGGUUAUUUGGGAUCUGUGUGACUUGCCUUGAGCUUCCGCAAACACUUCCGAACCUUGCUCAACGAAAACGCUCUCCUCCGGAACGUCGGAAACU
rnacentral:lncRNA from 1 species